GAUGAAGAACGCAGUAAAAUGCGAUAAGUAAUGUGAAUUGCAGAAUUCAGUGAAUCAUCGAAUCUUUGAACGCACAUUGCGCCCGCCAGUAUUCUGGCGGGCAUGCCUGUUCGAGCGUCAUUUCAACCCUCAAGCACAGCUUGGUGUUGGGACUCGCGUUAAUUCGCGUUCCCCAAAUUGAUUGGCGGUCACGUCGAGCUUCCAUAGCGUAGUAGUAAAACCCUCGUUACUGGUAAUCGUCGCGGCCACGCCGUUGAACCCCAACUUCUGAAUGUUGACCUCGGAUCAGGUAGGAAUACCCGCUGAACUUAAGCAUAUCAAUAAGCGGAGGA
rnacentral:misc_RNA from 1 species